UACGUAGGGGGCGAGCGUUGUCCGGAUUUAUUGGGCGUAAAGAGCGUGUAGGCGGCCAGGUAGGUCUGCUGUGAAAACUCGAGGCUCAACCUCGAGACGCCGAUGGAAACCCUCCAGCUAGAGUCCGGAAGAGGAGAGUGGAAUUCCUGGUGUAGCGGUGAAAUGCGCAGAUAUCAGGAAGAACACCCGUGGCGAAGGCGGCUCUCUGGGACGGUACUGACGCUGAGACGCGAAAGCGUGGGGAGCGAACAGG
rnacentral:rRNA from 1 species